rnacentral:rRNA from 1 species
GACGAACCGAGCGAACGUUGUUCGGAAUCAUCUGGGCUUAAAGGGCGCGUAGGCGGAUUCAAAAGUCCGGGGUGAAAAUCCCACAGCUCAACUGUGGAAGCUGCCUCGGAUACUGUGAGUCUCGAGGGUGGUAGGGGUAUGGCGGAACUAUCGGUGGAGCGGUGAAAUGCGUUGAUAUCGAUAGGAACUCCGGUGGCGAAGGCGGCAUACUGGACCACAUCUGACGCUGAGGGCGCGAAAAGCCAGGGGAGGCAAAACGGG